rnacentral:tRNA from 1 species
AAUCCGUCGAUUUCAAAAAU